CCGGCGAGGUUCCAGUAGCUGUGAUGAGCCAAGUUCACCGGUGUCAUCUUGUUCCGGGUCGAGGCGAUUAGCUCCACUCUCAGCUCGUUUUCGCCAGACAAGGUCUUUACCUUGCUCGGUGUUGUAGCUGUACAGGAGAAACUCGACAGACGGUGAAGAAGGAUCCUUUGAUGCUACUCGAGACCGCCAGAGUAUGUUGUUAUAGCCGAUAAAUCCUCCUGUGAUUUGCUCUCUCUCUCUCGUUAGCCCUUUACUUUUGCGAGAUUUGAAGACAAACCAUGUAAGGUGUUGUUAUGAUCGUUGCCCAUCAAGAAGUACGUGGUGCCAUUGAGAGUGAACCUGGCGUCUUUGAUCCGGUUAGCAACCCGGCCGACAAUGGCACCAAAGUAAGGACUUACCAUGUAAGGUUCUAGCGAGUCAAGCCCCAGGACGAUGUCCACAUCCUUUCCUGUAAGUCAGGACAAAACACUUGAGUCCAAAGACGACCAGACUGUCGCGACAGAGAUUGGCACUCUGGACAAGGAAAAGCUUGGAAAAACUAUAAAAAAUAAAUAGAGAAAGCAGGACUGAUUGGAUCAAUCAAUCAUUCACUCCUU